ACCGGAGCUAAUACCGGAUAAUAUUUUGAACCGCAUGGUUCAAAAGUGAAAGACGGUCUUGCUGUCACUUAUAGAUGGAUCCGCGCUGCAUUAGCUAGUUGGUAAGGUAACGGCUUACCAAGGCAACGAUGCAUAGCCGACCUGAGAGGGUGAUCGGCCACACUGGAACUGAGACACGGUCCAGACUCCUACGGGAGGCAGCAGUAGGGAAUCUUCCGCAAUGGGCGAAAGCCUGACGGAGCAACGCCGCGUGAGUGAUGAAGGUCUUCGGAUCGUAAAACUCUGUUAUUAGGGAAGAACAUAUGUGUAAGUAACUGUGCACAUCUUGACGGUACCUAAUCAGAAAGCCACGGCUAACUACGUGCCAGCAGCCGCGGUAAUACGUAGGUGGCAAGCGUUAUCCG
rnacentral:rRNA from 1 species